ACUGACUUUACCUACAUUUGAGUAAUUGACUUCACCCAUAUUUGGGUGAAAAAAUUAACACAAACAAUAUUUCUGAAGUGAUGGCCACGCGCGUCAAUGUUGCAAAAUUUCUUAAAUUUCUCAAUUUUUAUUUAUCUUUAAUUCAAAUUCAAAAACCGCUGAUGAAGUUCCGAGUGCAGUUCUUCACACAUGAAGAUAUAUGGAGAUUGCAACUUCCCGACGAUCUGUUCCAGUCCCGAUUAGCAGCGCCAUAUCGACCUCCUUGCAGGUGACGAUCGACGAUUGCAACUUCCCGACGAUCUGUUCCAGUCCCGAUUAGCAGCGCCAUAUCGACCUCCUUGCAGGUGACGAUCGACGAAGGCAGAUGGCAAGAACGGGCACUAGUUCCAGGGGGAGAACUUCUGCUCAGACGAGUCUCACCCCAAACUACUUGCUUCGGCAUCGAUCUUCCUCCAGCAACCCAGAUGAACCCGUUUCAAAAAAGCUUCAAGCGAACGCAAAAACCGGAUGAUACCUCGCCUUGUUGUUUCCGAUCGUCAGCUUUGAAGUGGCCGCGAUGGCGAAAAGAACAGCAACAGAUCGAAUUAAGUGCCAAAGGAGGAGGAAAAAUCGGAUCGACGGUGCCGACGGAGCCGAGGACGGAGCAACCUGAGCGCGGAAGGGGAUGUUGUUGCUUUUUGUAUAUUCAGCUAAGCUUGAACACACGCCAGGAAAAAUUAAGUCUCCAGCCGCCAGACUAUUUUGAUCCUAUUUUUCCGGCAAAUCCCCGUCAUCGUCAUCUUCAUCAUCGACGUUGUCAUCGGUAUGAUUGGCCUGAAACUAUGAACACAAAGACCGGACCCAACAAUAGGCCAUCUCAUUGCGAAAGCGGUCUCCUCCGUAUUGAGUGGGGGAAACAAUAAUCCGCAUGAUGGCCUCGUCGUCGGUCGGCUCGGCUCUUCAAGUUUGCCCGGAAGUAUUUACCUUUUUGCAGGAUAAAAUAACUAAUUUGUUUUGCUAUCAACUGGUGUUGCUGUUGUUAUUUUGAAUAAUUUGAUCUUUUUGCGGUUUGUCGCAACCAACAACAUAUUUGUCUGGAACAAGCUGUCACCAGUUCCGGAAUGGCAUGCCGUAAAACUUUAUCAUCAGUUAUAACUAGUGUGUGUACCAAUGCUUGCUGAGAUUACGUGCAUUUCACCAUACUGACCCAAAGCGGCUGCUUAAGGAUAUUCCUGCCGUCCAAGAUUACUUCCAUCUGUUCCUGCUGUUGAU